UACGGAAGGCAGCAGUGGGGAAUAUUGCACAAUGGGCGCAAGCCUGAUGCAGCCAUGCCGCGUGUAUGAAGAAGGCCUUCGGGUUGUAAAGUACUUUCAGUCGUGAGGAAGGUGUUAAGGUUAAUAACCUUAGCAAUUGACGUUAGCGACAGAAGAAGCACCGGCUAACUCCGUGCCAGCAGCCGCGGUAAUACGGAGGGUGCGAGCGUUAAUCGGAAUUACUGGGCGUAAAGGGCACGCAGGCGGUUAAUAAGUUGGAUGUGAAAUCCCCGGGCUUAACCUGGGAAUGGCAUUCAAGACUGGUUAGCUAGAGUCUUGUAGAGGGGGUAGAAUUCCAUGUGUAGCGGUGAAAUGCGUAGAGAUGUGGAGGAAUACCGGUGGCGAAGGCGGCCCCUGGGACAAAGACUGACGCUCAUGUGCGAAAGCGUGGGGAGCAAACAGGGAUUAGAUACC
rnacentral:rRNA from 1 species